rnacentral:rRNA from 1 species
UACGAAGGGGGCUAGCGUUGCUCGGAAUCACUGGGCGUAAAGCGCACGUAGGCGGCUUUCUAAGUCAGGGGUGAAAUCCUGGAGCUCAACUCCAGAACUGCCUUUGAUACUGGAGAGCUUGAGUCCGGGAGAGGUGAGUGGAACUCCGAGUGUAGAGGUGAAAUUCGUAGAUAUUCGGAAGAACACCAGUGGCGAAGGCGGCUCACUGGCCCGGUACUGACGCUGAUGUGCGAAAGCGUGGGGGAGCAAACAGG